CUCGUGCUGCUUGGGCAUCUCGCUGGGGUCCUGUGAGCCAGAGGAGAAAGACAGACGUUAGUCUUACUGAGUAAUAUUCCUUAUUACCUCUCUAUAAGACUUCUGAAAGACUUGGUACCACAAAUCCUACUCUGACGCACCUAUGUGACCCUGAACACUAGAAGGCUACACCAGUGGAUUGUAUGCUCUGGCAGAUUCUACAAGAUGUCAGGAAUGAUCAUAGAGAGACAGUGAGAGACUGAUGCCUUUUUUUGGAGGGGUGGAAAUGGCUUAUUUCUACAACAUUCUCCAGAAAUAAGCUAUCCUACGACGUGGUUUCUCAAAUAAAAUUGAAUAAUGGAGUGGAGGAAUUCCACAGGGAUUGGAACAACCUCCAGGAAGUGAUAUAGAGUGAAAGGAGCAGAACCAGGAAAACAUUGUACACAGAGACUAAUACACUGUGGUACAAUCGAACGUAAUGGACUUCUCCAUUAAUGGCAAUGCAGUGAUCCUGAAUAACCCAGAGGAUUACAGGAGAAAAAACACUAUGCACAUCCAGAGGAAAAACUGUGGGAGUAAAAACACUAAAGAAAAAUGACUGCUUAAUGACAUGGGUCGAUGGGGAUAUGGUUGAGGACGUAGACUGUAAAUGAACAUCCUAGUGUAAACACCAACAACAUGGAAAUGGGUUCUGAUCAAGGACACAUGCGAUACCCAGUGGAACUGUGCAUCAGCUAUGGGAGGGGUUGGGGGAGGGGAGGGAGGAAUAGAAAAUGAUUUUUGUAACCAAGGAAUAAUGUUUGAAAUUGACCAAAUAAAAAAAAUUAAAAAAAAGAAUAACCCUUUCUGACUCUUCCCUCCAUGUUCAAAUUCUUUUCCCUUGAAUUCCUUAAUAUUUACUUUGUGUGUAUAUUUUAUGUUAACAUAUAAAUUUUUUUUGUUGUUGUUCUAUUGUUUCUGAUUCUUCAAGA